UGCUGGAGGUAUCAGAAGUGCGAAUGCUGACAUAAGUAACGAUAAAGCGGGUGAAAAGCCCGCUCGCCGGAAGACCAAGGGUUCCUGUCCAACGUUAAUCGGGGCAGGGUGAGUCGACCCCUAAGGCGAGGCCGAAAGGCGUAGUCGAUGGGAAACAGGUUAAUAUUCCUGUACUUGGUGUUACUGCGAAGGGGGGACGGAGAAGGCUAUGUUAGCCGGGCGACGGUUGUCCCGGUUUAAGCAUGUAGGCUGGUUAUCCAGGCAAAUCCGGAUAAUCAAGGCUGAGGUGUGAUGACGAGGCACUACGGUGCUGAAGUAACAAAUGCCCUGCUUCCAGGAAAAGCCUCUAAGCAUCAGGUAACAUCAAAUCGUACCCCAAACCGACACAGGUGGUCAGGUAGAGAAUACCAAGGCGCUUGAGAGAACUCGGGUGAAGGAACUAGGCAAAAUGGUGCCGUAACUUCGGGAGAAGGCACGCUGGUGUGUAGGUGAAGUCCCUGCGGAUGGAGCUGAGACCAGUCGAAGAUACCAGCUGGCUGCAACUGUUUAUUAAAAACACAGCACUGUGCAAACACGAAAGUGGACGUAUACGGUGUGACGCCUGCCCGGUGCCGGAAGGUUAAUUGAUGGGGUUAUCCGUAAGGAGAAGCUCUUGAUCGAAGCCCCGGUAAACGGCGGCCGUAACUAUAACGGUCCUAAGGUAGCGAAAUUCCUUGUCGGGUAAGUUCCGACCUGCACGAAUGGCGUAAUGAUGGCCAGGCUGUCUCCACCCGAGACUCAGUGAAAUUGAACUCGCUGUGAAGAUGCAGUGUACCCGCGGCAAGACGGAAAGACCCCGUGAACCUUUACUAUAGCUUGACACUGAACAUUGAGCCUUGAUGUGUAGGAUAGGUGGGAGGCUUUGAAGCGUGGACGCCAGUCUGCGUGGAGCCAACCUUGAAAUACCACCCUUUAAUGUUUGAUGUUCUAACGUGGGCCCCUUAUCGGGGUUGCGGACAGUGUCUGGUGGGUAGUUUGACUGGGGCGGUCUCCUCCCAAAGCGUAACGGAGGAGCACGAAGGUUAGCUAAUCCUGGUCGGACAUCAGGAGGUUAGUGCAAUGGCAUAAGCUAGCUUGACUGCGAGCGUGACGGCGCGAGCAGGUGCGAAAGCAGGUCAUAGUGAUCCGGUGGUUCUGAAUGGAAGGGCCAUCGCUCAACGGAUAAAAGGUACUCCGGGGAUAACAGGCUGAUACCGCCCAAGAGUUCAUAUCGACGGCGGUGUUUGGCACCUCGAUGUCGGCUCAUCACAUCCUGGGGCUGAAGUAGGUCCCAAGGGUAUGGCUGUUCGCCAUUUAAAGUGGUACGCGAGCUGGGUUUAGAACGUCGUGAGACAGUUCGGUCCCUAUCUGCCGUGGGCGCUGGAGAAUUGAGGGGGGCUGCUCCUAGUACGAGAGGACCGGAGUGGACGCAUCACUGGUGUUCGGGUUGUCAUGCCAAUGGCACUGCCCGGUAGCUAAAUGCGGAAGAGAUAAGUGCUGAAAGCAUCUAAGCACGAAACUUGCCCCGAGAUGAGUUCUCCCUGAGACUUUAAGUCUCCUGAAGGAACGUUGAAGACGACGACGUUGAUAGGCCGGGUGUGUAAGCGCAGCGAUGCGUUGAGCUAACCGGUACUAAUGAACCGUGAGGCUUAACCUU
rnacentral:rRNA from 1 species